rnacentral:rRNA from 1 species
CCUACGGGAGGCUGCAGUGAGGAAUAUUGGUCAAUGGACGCAAGUCUGAACCAGCCAUGCCGCGUGCAGGAAGACGGCUCUAUGAGUUGUAAACUGCUUUUGUACGAGGGUAAACGCAGAUACGCGUAUCUGUCUGAAAGUAUCGUACGAAUAAGGAUCGGCUAACUCCGUGCCAGCAGCCGCGGUAAUACGGAGGAUUCAAGCGUUAUCCGGAUUUAUUGGGUUUAAAGGGUGCGUAGGUGGUCUGUUAAGUUAGUGGUGAAAUCACGCGGCUCAACUUCGGAAUUGCCUUUGAUACUGGUAGGCUUGAGAAUAGUUGAGGUAGGCGGAAUGUGUGGUGUAGCGGUGAAAUGCUUAGAGAUCAUAAAGAACACCGAUUGCGAAGGCAGCUUACCAAGCUACCUCUGACGUUGAGGCACGAAAGGGUGGGGAGCAAACAGGAUUAGAUACCCCAGUAGUC